CUACAACGGAGAGUUUGAUCCUGGCUCAGGAUGAACGCUGGCGGCGUGCUUAACACAUGCAAGUCGAACGAACCUUCGGGUUAGUGGCGGACGGGUGA
rnacentral:rRNA from 2 species